GUCUCGCUUCUCGAAGGCGUAGGUCAGGUGUUAAUGUCCUAAGCAAGGACCUUCAUUUGCGAUCCGCGUCUGCGACGAUGAUCAAGUAAGAACUGAUAUCCGCUCAUCCUUUCCUUUCUGAAGUUCCCUAAGGUUAGGAGCCCGGUUCGGCUCUUCCUAUGAAAUGAUUAGGCCUUCCCGAACCCCACGCGAGGGGAAGACCGGCAGCACGCAGAAGAGUUCCAAGAGGACCUUAUUUGAACUAGUUCCA
rnacentral:misc_RNA from 1 species